UACAGAGGGGGCAAGCGUUAUUCGGAAUUACUGGGCGUAAAGCGUGCGCAGGCGGUUGUGCAAGACAGAUGUGAAAUCCCCGGGCUCAACCUGGGAAUUGCAUUUGUGACUGCACGGCUAGAGUGUGUCAGAGGGGGGUAGAAUUCCACGUGUAGCAGUGAAAUGCGUAGAGAUGUGGAGGAAUACCGAUGGCGAAGGCAGCCCCCUGGGAUAACACUGACGCUCAUGCACGAAAGCGUGGGGAGCAAACAGG
rnacentral:rRNA from 1 species